rnacentral:lncRNA from 1 species
GAGAGCCGCGCCCUCAACCAAAACGCCACUCUAUAGCCACAAAUAAUGCUCAGAACAGCACCUAACUUCAUCAACAGGACAUAUAGGGUCACAGACAUAGUACUAUAUUCAGAGUUGUUCUAACUCCUAAGAAAACAUGAACUUAAGCGGGGGCGUUUCUCCACUUCUCUAGUCUAUAAGCUGGGCCAAUAAACUUCUACUGUAGUAAAAUGAAAAGGUAAAGGUGUUUUUAUUGAGCCGAAUUAUCAAUAAAAUCGUAACAUUGUUAAUUUAUGUGCUGUUGAGUAAGUAUGUUUGAACAAGAGCACAGUAAACUUAAAUCAGCUAAUUUUCCAAUGAGGUUCUGUUACUGAACAUGUUCUACUCAGGUUAGUACAUACAGGGUCACAGCCAUAGUACUAGACACCAAACAUCUUUUUAACUUUGACUCAUUUCUUUAGCAAAGAGACUAAACACAACUCACCUACUCUCUUCCAGCAGACGCUUGUUUGUAGAGAGACCUCAGGCCAGUCCAUUACAGACUACAGCGGGGUGACGCAGCUCAAGGAAGAACAUUUAUGAUCAUUUCUUUAUCAUUUCCUUGAAGUAAUAAUCAUCAUACUAGUUCUGCUCUUAAAUGUUCCUCCUCUCUCUAUAGUGUGUGGCACAGGCAGCUGCAGACGGCGCUCGCUGGAAGAGUUGGCGUUUACUGCCGCUAGUCACUAAAAAUCCCAACAUGGUGAAUCCUAAUUUGAAGCUAGCGUAGGAUCUUCUGCCAGAGGGGGUGUGUCGUGGGGAGGGCGAUACAGGUUCAGGGGGGAGUUAUGGUGGGGCACAGAGGGGAGACGUUUGUGUGUGGAGUGGGGGUGGGACGCUCAGUUUUUUUCAACUGCUUCUCAGAUCGUCAACAAUGUGAGUCUUAGAAUGAUAAACGGAUCCUGAGCAGCAGGAUGGACGCCAUCAGAACCAGUUCCUUUUGGGGUUUUUUUUGCUGGUUUGACGCACGCUGUCCAUCCUGGUGAUGAGUUGAUUCGAAACAGACAGACUCAUCCUUUACUGUCAACACUAUCUCUUUAUCGGUGUGUGUUUUAUUUCCAGCUCCCUGUCAAUUAAACCUCCUCGCGUAGACCGUCCACGUUCGUUUUCCUCAUUGACUGACAGUCGAUAACAUGGAUCCCACUCUUUUCUCCGCCUCCCCUCGCUCUGUCGUAUCUCCUCCGCUCCCGUCUCCCUCUCCUCCUGACACAAGCUCAAUAACCGAGGAGCCGCACGCUGAUGGGAAUCAUCUCUGUAACGCUAACUGACGCUGACAGACCGUUCACGCCAGGAAAUUGAUUUACAGUUUGAAAAAGCCAUUUAGGUUCUGAAAAGCUCGCCGCCGUCUGAGACGACCUGUCACAGUCCAGGAGGCAGAGGUCGACGCGCAACUUUUUCCCAUCAAUAAAAAACACAGGAGCGGCUUUGAGGGUGUCGUUCGACGCUGAAGCUUCUGCUCAAGGCAACAACCGAUGCCAUCCAUCUGCCGCCCUCGACAUAUUUCACCCUGAGAGACACACGCUUAACAAUCGCACUGUGGACACGAGAAGGACGCCUGUUUUCUUUUCGCUCAUGAACCAAUCAUGUCAAGACAAUAUGAGACGAUCUGAACCUUGACCCUUCGACCAAUCAGAAGACAACACCUGUAUGAGUCUGAAUCGACGUUUCGUGAGGACAAAAGGAACUCGUUCUUCUUCCUGAUUACGUUCCUUCAGCUCCUGUCGUCUCUGUGUUCGAUUGUUCGCUCCGUAUUUACCUCAGAGAGAAAACUAGAAAUCCUUCAGACAAACAAACAAACAAACAGAGACAAUCCUGAGAGGAUUCACCUCUGACCUCUGAAACAACAGAAGAAGGAUCCGGACUCCGCUAUGACGUGGUCAGGUGGAUCAUAGACGACCUGGGCAAGAUCAAACGGUCUUUGUAGAUAUCUGCGCUGAUGGGUUCAAACUGAGCGGGAUAAUGUUUUUUCAACAUGUUUGGUUUUAUUCAAACAGGAGCGGGACAGGAGUGGGAGUAAUCUUGAGUGGGAGUGAAAGUCAUUCUACGGGAGUGGAACAGGAGUGGGAGUGGGAGUCAUUUUAUGGGAGUGGAACAGGAGUGGGAGUAAUCUUGAGUGGGAGUGAAAGUCAUUCUAUGGGAGUGGAACAGGAGUGGGAGUAAUCUUGAGUGGGAGUGGGAGUCAUUCUAUGGGAGUGGAACAGGAGUGGGAGUAAUCUUGAGUGGGAGUGGGAGUCAUUCUAUGGGAGUGGAACAGGAGUGGGAGUAAUCUUGAGUGGGAGUCAUUCUAUGGGAGUGGGACGGGAGUGGGAGUAAUCUUGAGUGGGAGUGGGAGUCAUUCUAUGGGAGCGGAACAGGAGUGGGAGUAAUCUUGAGUGGGAGUGGGAGUGAUUCUAUGGGAGCGGGACAGGAGUGGGAGUAAUCUUGAGUGGGAGUGAAAGUCAUUCUACGAGAGUGGAAAAGGAGUGGGAGUAAUCUUGAGUGAGAGUGGGAGUCGUUCUAUGGGAGUGGAAAAGGAGUGGGAGUAAUCUUGAGUGGGAGUCAUUCUAUGGGAGUGGAACAGGAGUGGGAGUAAUCUUGAGUGGGAGUCAUUCUAUGGGAGUGGGACGGGAGUGGGAGUAAUCUUGAGUGGGAGUGGGAGUCAUUCUAUGGGAGCGGAACAGGAGUGGGAGUAAUCUUGAGUGGGAGUGGGAGUGAUUCUAUGGGAGCGGGACAGGAGUGGGAGUAAUCUUGAGUGGGAGUGAAAGUCAUUCUACGAGAGUGGAAAAGGAGUGGGAGUUAUCUUGAGUGGGAGUGGGAGUCGUUCAAAGGAGUGGGAGUAAUCUUGAGUGGGAGUCAUUCUAUGGGAGUGGAACAGGAGUGGGAGUAAUCUUGAGUGGGAGUGGGAGUCAUUCUAUGGGAGUGGAAAAGGAGUGGGAGUAAUCUUGAGUGGGAGUGGGAGUCAUUCUAUGGGAGUGGGACAGGAGUGGGAGUAAUCUUGAGUGGGAGUGGGAGUCAUUCCAUGGGAGUGGAACAUACAGGUGUAAGUACCAGUUCUGGACGAGCCCACUUGGCGAGUCCAUCCAGACUUCAGCGGAGCUCUUGAGACCUGGGACCAGUUCAUGUGGUUUUAGUUUACAGAUAGAAAUCCAGCUCUUUGGGAAACUUUAGCGUCAUGUUUUUCAAUGAAUAUGAGUCGCCAGGACACAAGGAAACUGUUGUUUACCUGUCCAGGUGUCAACCCUGUGAACGCUCAGAUUAGGAUUAAGGUUCGACUCAGAUUGACGGUUUUCUACCAAGUUAAAUCAGCGGCCCGUCCUUAUCGACUGAGUGAAUUUGAAGCAGCUCUGAAAUGUCAGACUGUAUGAGUCAACACGUGUUUGCAGAAUCUGUCAGAUACCAGCAGAUAAAACCUUUGAUUUAUCUUUGUUUGGAGAAAGAGUGAAAGAGCUGUGAUUAGUGACGGCGUCAACGUCUGAUGCUGGACGUCAUCUCAGGUUAUCUCACAGUGAGGUUCAGUUCAUCUAAGUACAGCUAACAAUCAGACAUCUAAAUCUCUGCCUCCUUUCUCUCUUUCUCUCCAAAAACAAGUUGAAAAGUUCAGACAUAUAUCUUUUACAUCUCGGAGUUUAAACUCAGCGUCCCACUGCGAGGACGCCAGCAGCGCUUUAUGCUAAUGAGAAUUAACGAACGAGAUUAACUUCAAUCUCUGCAGCUCCUCUGACCAGGAUUUUCAGCCUUUACAGCUUUUGUUCAUUUCCCUCACAGACGUAGAUUCAAUAAUGAAAUGUUUAAAAUCUGAAAAGAUAAUAAAGUCGAGGUUUUUUUCUGUUGUUUGAGGAUCUUUUGGAAGGAGGGUAGAUCUGCGGUGUGAGGAUAUAACCUCAAAGAACUAAACCCUGUACGUUUUUACGCGUUUUUGACUAUUUACAGUUGUUUCUGCCGCUCCUGGGAUGAGACAGAGGACCACAUCAUACUGCUCAGAAUCUCUUCCUUUCUUGUUUCCAAACAUUGAGGACCAUUAUUUCUGAUUUUACAGACAAGCAGGGAACUUUCUUGUCUUUUGCUGAUCUUUGGUUGCCUCUUAUUGGACACUACUGUCAAAGGAACAAUGAAGGAUGAAAGUUAAAGAGCUUGGACCUGAUCUUUGCAGGAAAAGCUGAGGGUUAAAGAGCUUGGACCUGAUCUUUGCAGGCGAAAAUAAGAGUCAAAGAGCUUGAACCUGAUCGUUGCAAGAAAAGCUGAGGGUUAAAGAGCUUGGACCUGAUCUUUGCAGGCGAAAAAAAGAGUCAAAGUGCUUGAACCUGAUCUUUGUAGGAAAAGAUGAGGGUUAAAGAGCUUAGAAUUGAUCUUUGCAGGAAAAGCUGAGGGUUAAAGAGCUUGGACCUGAUCUUUGCAGGCGAAAAUAAGAGUCAAAGAGCUUGAACCUGAUCGUUGCAAGAAAAGCUGAGGGUUAAAGAGCUUGGACCUGAUCUUUGCAGGCGAAAAUAAGAGUCAAAGAGCUUGAACCUGAUCUUUGCAGGAAAAGCUGAGGGUUAAAGAGCUUGGACCUGAUCUUUGCAGGCGAAAAUAAGAGUCAAAGAGCUUGAACCUGAUCUUUGCAGGAAAAGCUGAGGGUUAAAGAGGUUGGACCUGAUCUUUGCAGGCGAAAAUAAGAGUCAAAGAGCUUGAACCUGAUAUUUGCAGGAAAAGAUGAGCAUAAAUGAGCUCGGACCUGAUCUUUGCAGGCGAAGAUGAGGGUUAAAGAGCUUGGACAUGAUCUUUGCAGGCGAAGAUGAGGGUCAAAGAGCUUGGACAUGAUCUUUGCAGGAGAAGAUGAGCAUAAAUGAGCUCGGACCUGAUCUUUGCAGGCGAAGAUGAGGGUUAAAGAGCUUGGACCUGAUCUUUAGAACAGUAGCUACAGUGCUCCGACAAGCCAUCAGGAUUUUAAGUGCGCCUUAUAGUGCGAAAAUUACGGUAAUAAGAAACCGAGGAGGACCACGACAUAAUGCGUGCCUUUCAAAAUAAGCUAUUUUUCAAAAUAAAAGACACGUCAAACAUCAGCUGUGCAUGACAUUUUAACUUUUUUGACCUGCUGUUCCACUUUUGAGAACCACCGUAUUAGAGCACAAUGGUAGCAGCGUCACCUACCGUAAAGCCCACUUCGAUGCUCCUACAGUGGGUAAACCAUGAUAAUCCGUCCCCUUUAAUGAUACUACCGUAGAUAAACCUGCCCUCCAGCUGCCCUCCUGGUGUACAAAACUAAACUCUGCCUUCAGGACAUCAUUCUAGGUUAUUAAACAUGAAUAUGUGCCCUUAGGAUGAUCUUUCAGGACAUCAAUUAUGAAAAAGUCCCCUUCAAAUACACAAUUGUUGGAAGAAAAUGUCCUCUGGAUGACCCUCUAAUUCAUCAAAAGUGAUAAAGUGCAAAUAGAGCCACGCAACGACAGUAUAAACCCAGUUUAUGAUCAGAGAAGGCCAAAAACAGGCAGGAGUGGUUUUCAUGUUCUGAGGUCUGAUGGUUCAUUUUUCAUCAAACUGUCUGAGGUAGGAGAGUCGGCGGCGUGACGGUAAUAGUUUCAGUGUGCUCACCUGAGACCCCCAAGACUUUAAACCCUUAGAUAUCACAUGACAGGAAUUUAACUUUCCGACGUACCGUCAGAUAUGAGAGCGGACACCCAGGCUCCACGCCGACAGAUAAGACAGGCGGGCUGAAACAGUCACCCAUCAGUCACCACGUUCGUCUUUAUCUCCCACCUUUCCUCUUCGCCGACUCCGUCUCCUUUUUUUCUGUCUCUCCUCUGGAAACUUCAAUCAGUCGUCUGUUAACACUCAUCAUCUUCCUCUUUCUUUGUUUCUGUCUGACAUUUAUCUCUGUCGUCUCUCUCUCUCUCGCUGUGACUCAUCGUUCCAGUUCGGAGGUUGACGUUUUCAACCCCUCCAAUAACACAAUCAAACUUUUCAGACACUUCCCUCAACCGUCCGUUUCAGACACUUCACACUUUGAUCUGAAAAAUGAGCUUUACACGCUCAGAAGGAACUCUACAACCCAAUCUUUGUUGGAGAGAUAAACGAGGCGCCGAGUGGAAAAUCUCUACGCUAGAAAGAAUAAUGGUGCUAUCUCAGAAAAACAAUGUACUACCAACAAAUCUAACCAAGAGAGUGGCAGACAAACUCAUCUUGAGAUACACAAACACAUUAGAACCCGUCAACCGACAUAAAUUGUUGAAAGGAAAGAAACUCAAAUAUAGACGAGAGAAAAAGAAGUUUUUAACCAUCAACAAACACGAACUCAGGACAAUUUAUCAACUGGUUCUUGUUAAAGAUGUGCCAGAACAUGGGGGGUCACUAUGGAAGUAAAUCUGUGCCAUCUGAUUUUGAAUUUGAAUUUGUAAUUUUUUUUUUGCGUCAAAAUCAGACUUUGAAUUUCAAAUUGAUCGACUUUCAAGCACAUAUUUUUGUUUAUUUUUUUCACAAUGAUGAAAUAAAUUCAGUGGGGAAAAAAACAAAAUAUUAAUUUAGUGACAAUUUAACUGAAAAAAAACUGAACAAAUUCAACAUGAAAAAAUCCAGUGUCAAAUGAUUGAAAUUGAUUUUUUUUUACACUGAAUUUUUUUGUUAUGUUAAAUUUUUGAAAGGUCGAAUUUUUAAUAAAAAGUAUUUUAAAAGACUUUUUUCCCAUUGAAAUGAAUUUUUUUACACUGAAUUUUUUGUCAUGUUUAUUUAUUUGUUUUUUAAACAGAUUAUUUUUUUAGUUGAAAUUUUACUAAACUAAUAUUUUGAGAGACUUUUUUUCCCCAUUUAAAUUGAAUUCUUUUACACAGAAUUUUUUUGUCAUGUUGAAUUUUUUUUAAGGUUUAGUUUUUACUAAACUAAUAUUUUAAAGAUGUUUUUUUUUUCACACUGAAAUUGAAUUUUUUUAGACUAAAAUUUUUUGUCAUGUUGAAUUUAUUUUUACGCAGAUUUUUUUAGGUCGAAUUUUUACUAAACUAAUAUUUUUUAAAAAACUGUUUUUCCCCCUGAAAUUGAUUUUUGUCAUGUUGAUUUUUUUUUUUUUUUUUACAAAGAUUUUUUUAAGUCGAAUUUUUACCUAAUGAAUAUUUUUAGAAACUGGGUUUUUUUCCCCACUGAAUUAAUUUCAUCAUUGUGGAAAAAAAAAAAGUCAGAUAUAAAAUCACAUGCUCGAAAUUCGAUGGUUUUGAAAUUCAAAGUCUGAUUUUGAUGCAAAAAAAAAUUCAGCUUUAGAAAUUCAACUUCAAAAUCAGAUGGCACAGAUUUACUUCCAUAGCUUACUCAGUCAGAUCCACUUCUAACAGACCAACCAAACCCCACAGAAAAAAACGCACAUUUACAAGGUGCUGAAGUGGGUCUUCAGCUGGACUCUGAUCCAGAUUUUGAAGGAGUCUUCUCUACGGUUUCUAAGUAAGUCAGUGAACACAUAACCUUGUCCGUUUGACGGAUCUAGACUUGGGUUUUGUUGAUUUUAAUCUCGCUGCACUGUCAGAAUUUUAGGAUGUUGAGUUAUAAAGAUUAAAUAUCCUUCUACGCCGAUGAUGUGGUUCUAUGGUUUUCAACUGAUCUUGAUCUCACGAACUCGCUGCAGCGGUUUACGGCCGACUAUGGGUGUGAAGAUUGAACAUGUGGAGGUUUUUCAAACAUUCAGGAUCGUCUUCAGAGAGCAUGAGAUCGUCUUAUAAUGGACAUCAUUCAUUCAUUUCUGGCAGAUGUUUGUUUUAGUGAACCAAUGAGGGAGGAGAUGCCGUACAAACGCUGUUCUGAAUUUAGCGAACACACGGAGGGAGGGAUGUAAACUGUAUCUCGCCCUCCCUGUGGCGCUGACACAGACAGUUCAAACUCCGGUUGAAUUACAGGUCAACCGACUCUGACAAAAGAGGGAGAAUCUGGGCUAAGUGUUACCAUGGGGGGGUCGUCUCCAGGCCAGAGUGCCUCAUGGGUAUUCACAUUCGCACUGCAAUGAAUUCUUCAGAAAGAUGAAGUAUCUGAUUUACAGUAACAUAAUUAUCAUUUAUAUAUAUACUACCAUGUUUAUAUAUAUUCAGUUUAUUAACUAUAUAUAUAUAUGAAUAUAUGGAUAUGUAUGUAAUUAUUAAAAAUAUGCUUACUGUAUUAUUCGCACUAUGAGGCGCACCAUCAAUGAACGCGUCUAUUUUUAUACAUAAGACACAUUAAACCAAACAAAACAGUUGGAUAAGUCAAAUGACUUUAUUCUCCGAAGUAAUUAUUUUAUUACGACUUUAUUCUUGUUGAUGAUUUGAUUACAACUUUAUUCACAUAAGUAAUUUUUUUAAUACAACUUUAUUCUUUUAAGUAAUUAUUUAAUUUAGACUUUAUUCUCCGAAGUAAUUAUUUUAUUACUUUAUUCUCGCAAAUAAUUAUUUUAUUACAACUUCAUUCUCGUAAAUAAUUAUAGUAUUAGUACUUUAUUCUCAUAAGUAAUAAAGUCUCGUAAGUAAUUAUUUUAUUACAACUAUAAUCUUUUAAGUAAUGAUUUGAUUACUUUAUUCUCAUAAAAAAUAAUUUAUUUAUGACAUUUUUCUCAUAAGUUAUUAUGUCAUUGAUACUUUUAUUCUUGUCAGUAAGGAUUUUAUUAUGACUUCUUUUUAGUAAUUAUUUUAGUAAGAUUUUAUUCUUGUAAGAUAUUUUUUUGUUACUUUAUUCUCUAAAAUAAAAACUUUAUUACAACUUUAUUAAUUGUAAGUAAUUAUUUUAUUACGAUUUUUUUCACGUAAGUAAUUAUUAAAUUACAACUUUAUUCUCGUAAGUAAUAACUUUAUUACUUUUUUCAUGUAAAUAGUUAUUUUAUCAAGACUUUAGUAUUGUGAGUAAUUAUUUUAUUACUUUAAUCUCAUAAGUAAUCAUAGUAUUACAACUUCAGUCUUGUAAGUAAUUAUUUUAUUAAGAUUUAUUCUUGUACGUAAUUAUUAUAUAACAACUUUAUUCUCGUAAUUAAUUAUUUUAAUGUGACUUUAUUUUUGUAAGUAAUUAUGUUAUUACAAUUUUAUUCUUUAAUUAAUUAUUUUAUUACUUUAUUUUAAUAAGUACAGAUUUUUUAGACUUUAUUCUUGUAAUAAAUUUCUUUAUUACGACUUUAUUAUUGUAAGUAAUUAUUUUAUUAUGACUUAAUUAUUGUAAAUAAUUAUUUUAUAACGAUUUAUUCACAUAUGUAAUUAUUAUAUUACAACUUUAUUGUUUAAUUAAUUAUUUUUUUAGUAAGUACAGAUUUUUUAGACUUUUUUCUCAUAAGUUUUUACGAAUUCUUUUUUUUUUUCUCUUCAUGUGGCCCUAAUACUCCGUCGUACUCGAACACGACCAGGAUUGACCUUUUUUUAAAGAAUGAAGCGUGUGUGUUGUUGAAAUCGAUGCUGCGUUUAACAGGAUAAUACUGUAUUUGAAUGUGAGAGAAGAAGACAGGAAGUCUUUAAUUAAACGGACGUGGACCACAUGAGGAAGAUGAUCGUCUGUUUCUGAAGAUCUCGCCGUUUUAUCUAAAAGUACCAAACAUGAGAAACAGCUGAUCCCUCAUCUCUGCGAUACGACCAGUGAGUUCAGACUCUUGGAUUACAUCACUAAUGAAUGUAACGGCGGGUAUAUUAGUGUCGCCACAGCAGGGGGGGGUUAAUCCUCAAUAAAAUGACCUUAAAUCGCAGCAGGAAGCUCAUUCUACAUAACAGUUAAUCCUUCACGCGUCAUUAUCGGCGCCGCUGCUGCUUCGUUUACCGUCUAACACCACAUGUUGACCUUCUGCCAUUGUGGAGUAAUUAGGAUCAGGCUAAUUUCCUGACGCCUAUUAAACAGGUCGCCGCGGGACCACGGGGGGCUAACCGAGCAGGAACCUUGAAGAAGAAGAACCUUUCCUGCUUUACCUUCGGCAAUUCAGCGUUCUAAUUGAGACCCUGAAGACGAAGCGUCCUCGCCCCCCACACAUAUUAAAUUUAUUAAUCCGCUCUUACUCGCCUUAUUAUCGCAACUGUACGUCUCUACUGGAGCUGAAAACUCAUUUUGGAUCGACUAAGACACACAUCGUUGAUUACAUAAGCAGAAUAAUCCAAAGAUCCCGCUCUGAUUGGCUGAUCUGCUUAUUUCCUGUUUCGGAUUAGCAUAAAGUAGCAUAUUAAGCGCCGAUCUGAGCUGACAGAAGAAGAAGAAGAAGAGAUGUCACUUCGGUUUGAGCGGCGUCAUGUCUCCUCUUUCUCUAAAACACACGUCAGUUCUGGUUUGUUGCUUCGGUCUGACUCAAAUGAGGCGUCUGAGCCAAUAAGCCGCCAGCCGCCGAAUCUAUGACGAAUCCUGACAAGAGAGAGAGAGAGAGAGAGAGAGACAGAGAGAGAGAGAGAGGUUGUGUGAAUCAGAUGGAAAAUAAUGCAAUUAAUCAAGGUCAAACAAACGUACGGUAAUGACGGUCUUUUUAAUUCUCGUUAGUGAGCGUUCCCCUGAGAACGACGUGAUGUGAGGUAAUCACAAUGAUUUACUCAAAGUCCUGAAUUAUUCAGCGGGUGACAAACACACUCAUGGAAAAGAGAAACAGCAGAUACAUUCACUCCUUUCUCCUCUCAUCUUCUCAUGAAUAAUUAACGGCUCAGUCUCAUUGGUUCCUCCUCCUCCUCCUCAUCCUCUCACACGUACAGAUCCAGCUCAGACUAGAUCGUCUUCUUCCUCCACUUCCAGGACAGAAACACUUUGAGGACGGUGUCCUGCUGCUGCUGCUGUGAGCGUCAUUAAUCCAGACCGGGGGCUGUUUGUCGACUCGGAGGACUUCACACCUGAACUCUCAGGUCGGCCUCAGGCGUGGAGGCGCAACAAAUAUGAUGAAGACGGCAAUAACUCUGCCAUCCCAACAGUAAACCACACACAAACUCAGGCUGAGUCUUAGUUCAGAGUCCCAAAACUACCCUGCCCCUUUUUCAAGCAUGAGUUUUGCACACUUCAUGGCCUUACACACCGGGAAUGAUGCAAAUAUACGACGUGAAAUUAAGACAUAUUCUGAGAUGAAUUUUGACGCGUCCCGGGUGGAAGCGAGAAGACUGCCCCAACAGCAGACUGAGUGUUUGUCAGUUCUGAUUAGACUCUAGUGUUGAGAUGUCUGUCUGUCAUGUUAGCAUGGACUGAGUCUGGGUCAGAACCAGAUAAACACAUGAAGCUAUGCUAACAACCGUUAGCUUACGUUAGCACAGAUGAAAGUUCAAACAAAGACGUUUAUCAAACUGUUAAAGCUCACAAACCAUCGUCAGAUGAGAAAUCCGACGCUAUGACUCUCCACAAGUUGUCCUUCAGGUCGUUAUCUUUGUAAUGUUUGUGUCUUUGAUCAAAAAUCACUCUGUUCUCCGACAUGUAAACAAUCAGCCGUCUGCCAUGUUGGACACACCGGAGUUCUCCUCUUAAACGGGACCUGCUUGAUGGACAGCACAGCGUUCUCCGGUAAAUCACUCGGUAGGGGGUUCGCAGUCGCCAUUCCUACAUCUUCUGUCAUUAGGAACCAAGUGCAGAGUGAGGGGCGGACCGGCUUCCAGUAGAGCAGCUAGCUACUUCAGACGCAUAUUGUAGCUAUGCGUCCGUUUGUGACCAAUCUGGUCAUGAAUGUGCUUACAUCAUUCAAAUUAGGCACGCUUGGGUGCUGGUCCUUGGCGCCCCUUAAGGAUUUUUUAAAUUUGGCUAGGAUAAGCUAACUUUUUUAAGCAGAACUGUGAUCUGAGCAUGCUCGAGACAACAGACGUUCCGAUUCCGCCAUGACACUGGGUGGAGAGAUCGUAGUAUUUGUGUCUUUUAUCAAAAAUCACUCUGUUCUCCGACACGUAAACAAUCAGCCGGUCGGCCAUGUUGGAUAUACCGGUGAAUCAGACGUCGCAACAACACGAAAUCUGAUUGGUCAGAAGUGGACACACAGAAUGCAAAACUUUAGAAAAAUCACUUAUUCGCUUAUUCCCGUUCCCGGGGUCUUCAGGGUCAUCCUGGACAAGUCACCAGUUCAUUGCAGGGCUGACAUAUCGAGACAAACAACCAUCCUCGCUCACAUUCACACCUACAGGCAAUUUGGAAGUGGCCAGUUAACCUAACCCCACUUAGACAUAUUUUUGGGAUGUGGGAGGAAAGCGGAGUACCAGGAGUAAACCCACGCAGACACAGGGAGAACAUGCAAACUCCACACAGAAACGCCCUGAGCCGGAUACAAACCCCGGACUUUCUUGCUGUGAGGCUGAAAAAUCGACUGUGAAACGAAAAAUAAAUGCUGCAAUAUCGCAGGACGGGAAAACGUCGCUGAUGUGAACGCUCCUGGUGUGAAAGGACCUUCCGUCAAGACGCGAGCCUGAGGGCGGGGACAUUUGGCGGCUCAACCAGGAAGUCCUCUGAAGGGUAGACCAUCCCAACUCACAAAAGCCAAACCAUCUCACCCAGGGUACUCAAGUCCACAUAACGGCAGUGUAUGUGUAUGGUUUUGGCGGCUUCUCUUCCACGGCUCAUGUGGGUGUUACUUUUCACACCGCCUCACAGUCUUUACGGUAAAAUGCUGCACACUUCCUCUCUUUGAGAAAUAAGAACGAGAAAACAACAACAACCAGGAGCUCCUUUGUUCGAUGAAGAAAGGCCUUUUCACCUUUGGAGCAUCAAACUCUCACAUGUGUUUCAUAACCAAAGAAAUAAAGUCCCUGUUGGUGUUAUUAACCUCGAACCUUCAGUGUCAUCUAAGCGGGUCGUCUCAGGCCGCCUGCUGUUCACACAACAAACACCCCCCCUGCUGUUCUGUUUUCAGCGGCUGACUGUGAAGAAGAGUUAUCAAUGAUUCAAACCUGGUUUUAACAGAGAGCUGAAACUUUCUCCUCCUCCUCCUCUCGAUUAGUUAAAACAGCGUCCUAUUUUAUAAAAUUCAUGACAUUAAACUUUAAACUGAUUUUUGGAAGUCUUGGGAGAAUCUAAUUUGAACUGAAUUUAUAUGUAAAGAGAGGUUUAAAGGUGGUGAUCAGGGCUCUCAGUAUUCUGAACAUGUACCAGUAGAUGUGCUGGUUCUAAUGAAGACUGAGCAGUUCCCAUUAUGGACAUGGCCGUGUGAUCCGGCAGCAGAAAUGAGGAUUUACAGCCCACCUCCCCCUGAUGUAGAGUGUCAGUUUAUAGAUGCUGCUCGUCAUUGUUCGAUCCUGUCCAUUGUUGUCAGCAGAUUGUUUCUGUGGAUUCAAUACAGAUCCUCCCAUCAGCACAACUCCCACAGAUUCCUGUUUACUGCAUUCACAAUCAAAACAAUGGACAGAGGGUGUUGGCCGGCUCGAACCCGGAGAAUUUCAAUCCCAAGGCUGAAGCGCGCAGAUGAGAUAACAACAAGCCUGAUGGAUUUAUUCACUGUAACACCCAAAGGGAGUGAAGCGAACCGCUCUGCGCUUCAGAGCAACGGUUCCCGAUCAUUUUUACACUAAAUGGGUUUUCAGGUACAAAGAGCGAUGAAACACUGGCCCCGUUUACAUGGGUAGUUUUCCUCAAUCUGAUUGAAAUCAAUCGGAUUAAGUGAAUCUGAUUCCAUCUGUAUACACUCACCGGCCACUUUAUUAGGUACACCUGUCCAACUGCUCGUUAACACUUAAUUUCUAAUCAGCCAAUCACAUGCAGCAACUUAGUGCAUUUAGGCAUGUAGACAUGGUCAAGACAAUCUCCUGCAGUUCAAACCGAGCAUCAGUAUGGGGAAGAAAGGUGAUUUGAGUGACUUUGAACGUGGCAUGGUUGUUGGUGCCAGAAGGGCUGGUCUGAGUAUUUCAGAAACUGCUGAUCUACUGGGAUUUUCACGCACAACCAUCUCUAGGGUUUACAGAGAAUGGUCCGAAAAAGAAAAAAUAUCCAGUGAGCGGCAGUUCUGUGGGCGGAAAUGACUUGUUGAUGCCAGAGGUCAGAGGAGAAUGGCCAGACUGGUUCGAGCUGAUAGAAAGGCAACAGUGACUCAAAUAACCACCCGUUACAACCAAGGUAGGCAGAAGAGCAUCUCUGAACGCACAGUACGUCGAACUUUGAGGCAGAUGGGCUACAGCAGCAGAAGACCACACCGGGUGCCACUCCUUUCAGCUAAGAACAGGAAACUGAGGCAACAAUUUGCACAAGCUCAUCGAAAUUGGACAAUAGAAGAUUGGAAAAACGUUGCCUGGUCUGAUGAGUCUCGAUUUCUGCUGCGACAUUUGGAUGGUAGGGUCAGAAUUUGGCGUCAACAACAUGAAAGCAUGGAUCCAUCCUGCCUUGUAUCAACGGUUCAGGCUGGUGGUGGUGGUGUCAUGGUGUGGGGAAUAUUUUCUUGGCACUCUUUGGGCCCCUUGGUACCAAUUGAGCAUCGUUGCAACGCCACAGCCUACCUGAGUAUUGUUGCUGACCAUGUCCAUCCCUUUAUGACCACAAUGUACCCAACUUCUGAUGGCUACUUUCAGCAGGAUAAUGCGCCAUGUCAUAAAGCUGGAAUCAUCUCAGACUGGUUUCUUGAACAUGACAAUGAGUUCACUGUACUCAAAUGGCCUCCACAGUCACCAGAUCUCAAUCCAAUAGAGCAUCUUUGGGAUGAGGUGGAACGGGAGAUUCGCAUCAUGGAUGUGCAGCCGACAAAUCUGCGGCAACUGUGUGAUGCCAUCAUGUCAAUAUGGACCAAGCUCUCUGAGGAAUGCUUCCAGCACCUUGUUGAAUCUAUGCCACGAAGAAUUGAGGCAGUUCUGAAGGCAAAAGGGGGUCCAACCCGUCACUAGCAUGGUGUACCUAAUAAAGUGGCCGGUGAGUGUACAUGAACUUUAAGUAAAGAGAUCCAUGUUCAGUCCGCGUUUUCAUGGCCCCAGCUGAAUCCAGUUGUAUUGUAUUGUAUCAAUGGGAAUCGUUAAUAGGAACCAUUGUUUUAGUUCCGUUUUAGAGUUGUGCACGGACGUGUUUGUGUGUGACACCGCCGGAGUUACCAGACCGAGCAGAGUAAGGAACCCUGUGUGUUGAAGUUUAAUAAAAGUAUAAUCCAGCCGGGUUACACAGCAAGAAGUGUACGCUUCGUCAGUCGCACGAAACGACACACUUUAACACGCCACCGUCCAGUUUUUCUGUUUGUUCGCCAUGUUUGUUUUCGUUUGGGCGCGCUCUGCGUACGUCACUACGUGCCUCUUACGUACUACGGAGCGCCUGCGCAGACCGAACAAGCCUCUCCGUAAACCCAAUCCGCUCCACUCAGCCGUAUAUAUGGAGCAUGGAGCGGAUUAUCAAUCGGUGUAGACUACUUCUUACAAUCCGACCCGAAAUACAGUCAGAUCCGGGUGAAUCAGACUGGCUAAGGUGUUUAUAUGAGACAUUUUGAAUCUGAUUGACCUUUCAAUCUGAUUGUAAAUAGGAUUUUUGGACCCAUGUAAACGGGGCCAGUGACGGCAACAGCGGCUGAGAAGACUAGAAAACCGACUGAAGAGAAGGAGAGGGAUUCUGGGAACUUUAAAGGCAGUAAAGGUUGUUUCAACUGCAUGUAACUGAUUUAUAUGGAAAUACUGAAGAUUAAAAUGUUUGUUACAUGAAGUUUAGAAUGUUUGAGAAAUAAAGUUUAAAAUAUUUGAUACAUGAAGUUUAGAAUGUUUAGAAUGUUUGAUACAUCCAAAUUUAGAAUGUUUGAAUCAAUGAAGUUUGGAAUGUUUAAUAAAUGAACUUUAGAAUGUUUGAUACAGACACACACACACACACUCUUCAAUUUGGAGUUUGUUGAACCUCUAACAGCUCCAAGGUUUGAGAGCGGACUGAAAUACCUCUGAUAUUCUCGGUUAUUUUCAAACACGGUCUUGUCAGGUCUGCGUUGGACUGCGGCGUUUCAAUUCUCUUUACACGUCAGAACUUUAUUUUAAUCAAGCAGGCGGCGUUAAGACGCCCUGCAGAGAAUCAUUACCAUCCUCCUUUCAUCCCGCCUUUAUUUCCCAGCAGCCACUGCUGUUUGUUUCUCUAAAUAACUCUGAGAAAUCUGAAGAGGAGGCUGAGUGUGUGUGUGUUUGUGUGUAUAUCUGUGUGUGUAUCUGUGUGUGUGUGCGGUAGAUUCCUUUGAUACCAGAUUAGCGAGUAUUCUCAGAGCUGAUCCAGGUGGGUGUUGGACAUGAUCCUGUCCUCGUCUUUUCUGCUCCUGAUGUCCAAAGACUUGAACAAACGUGAACGCGUCUUUAUUCAGCCGUUUUGUUUUUUUAACAUUCGUCCCCGACCGUAAUCAGAUGAGACAGGAAGCUGGCGAGCAUCUGUCCCGCUGAGCUGUCCUUAAAAACCACCAUCCCUCCCUCUGACUCAGACUCUGGAACAAAGCUCCCACGAUACUGAACCUUUGUUUUCUUGAUCAGAAAAAUCAGGAUGUUGGCGGGAGGAUUACACCGACCAAUCUCAGUUGACUGAUAAUCCAGUGUUUGCCUCUAAGCCCAAUCUCACUGCAGCGUCGACAGCUAACCUCUGAGCAGUGUUGCCAUUGUAGUGACUCGGUUGCUAUAUUUAGCGAGUUUUCAGACCCCUAUGAACCUGCGUUAGGGCCAGAAAAAACAUUAUUGUCUCACAUCGCCACUGACAGUUUUUUUUUUCUAUCGUCUCUUUUUGGUCCAUUUAGAUUUAGGUUGUACAAACUGUUUAAGAUAUUAUAUUUAAAAUGUCGAGGCUUUACUGCGAUUAGUCCUUUUUAAAACCAAACAAAACUUUCAAAAACUUAAAAAACAAACAACAAAAAAAAAACCUCAGUAACUCCUCCAAAUUGUCUUGAUUGGGUUAUAUUUGCCGAUGGUCCCAAACCACGAUAAAGGAGGAGGUUUAGUUUUGUGACAUUAAAAGAAACAAGAAUUGACAAAAAAAAUCAUUUGUAGUUCUAAACAUUUUUACUCACUUUAUAUUCACUUUUUUACUUACUUUUUUAUCCACUUUUUUUACUCAUGUUUUUCUCACCUUUUAACUAGAAUUUUUAUUAACUUUUUUACUCAAAUUUUUACUUACUUUUUAAUUAACUUUUUACUGACUUUUUAUUCACCUUUUUACUAAAUUUUUUACUCACUUUUUACUCAUUUUUCGUCACUUUUUUAAUUCAAUUUUUAUCUAACAUUUUAUUCACUGUUUUCCUCAUUUUUCCUCUUUUUUAUCCACUUUUUACUCAUUUUUUCUCACUUUCUUAUUCACUUUUUUACUCAUUUUUUCCUCACUUCUAUUCACUUUUUUAGUAAAUUUUUAUUCACUGUUUUACUCAUUUUUCUCACUUUUUAUUCACUUUUUCACUCAAUUUUUAGGCACUGUUUUUCCUCAUUUUUUCCCUCACUUUUUAUUCAUUUUUUUUAGUAAAUUUUAAUUCAUUUUUUUCUCACGUCUACUCACAUUUUUACUCAAUUUUUUACUCACUUUUUAAUUCACUUUUUACUCAUUUUUUCUCAUUUUUACUCAGUUUUUAUUCACUGCUUUUACUCAUUUUUUCCUCACUUUUUAUUCAUUUUUUUAGUAAAUUUUUAUUUACCAUUUUCCUCAUUUUUUUCUCACUUUUUACUCACAUUUUCACUCAUUUUUUACUCACUUUUUUAUUCACUUUUUUACUCACUUUUUUAGUAAUUUUUUAUUUACUUUUUUACUCUUUUUUUCUUUCUUUAUUAUUCACUUUUACUCACUUUUUUAUUCACUUUUUUACUCACUUUUUGUCUCUCCCAUGACCUUGUUCGUCUCCCUUACAGCGUCCAUUACAAUUUGGCCAACCAUGCAAAUUAGGCGAUGACAUCAUUUAGCGACUUUAGGACAGCCAAUAGCGACUUUCCUCACUGAGGAGUUGGUAAAACUUCUUCUGAGUACCUCAGAAACGAGCAGAGACGUGGAGCUGAAGCCCCUCCCUCUCCAAAGAACUGACACUGAGGUCAGCUGUGAAUUUGAAGGUCUGGAAUCGAGGACUUUAAGACGGUUUCAUCUCCUCUAGUGGACACUUAAGGAACUGCAGUUAUUCAACUUCCACGUUAUAGUUGUCAGAAGUCCGUCUGCUGGGUCAUGGUUUGAGUCCUGAAUUUUGGUCUCCUUGCUGUGGUUCAGAGCCGAACAGCUGCACAUUUGCACAUUUGCACAUUUCCACGAGGCUGGAGCAGAGCGGAGCACAUGCUGAGGAGGAGAGCAGAGCGGAGCUGCAGACGGCGCCGAGGCCACGACCCCGAGAGAGCGAACAAGACAGUGAUAAUGUAAAGAGACAGGCUGUGCUCCUACUGCUGACCUCCGGACCUCUGUUCUCCUCGGGGAGGCUGUUCUACUUAUUAAACCAACAACUGAGCCAUGAUGCUGUAAUACAACGACGACGGCGAGGAGGAUGAGCCGCAUUUAAAAAGCUUUUUUACGUCCACACCGCGUCUCUUACAUUAUUCAUCACUACGAUGACGACGACAAGGAGGGAAUGACAUCAGCCCACAUCUGUGUCUCCAUAAACCCGGGUUUGAGUGACUGCGACCUUCUGUGUCGGCACAUUUAUGUUCCCCAUAAAAAAAAGAGAAAGUCAGCGAUAUUUAACGACUUCUCUUCAGAUGAUGCUCAUGGAUAUUCCGACAUUUCUUCAUCGGCUCAGAGUUCGGCAUCAGGAGGCGGUUUAAAAUGAGUUUUAAAGUUUGAAGAAUAACAUCCAGGAUCAUGAAAUUCUCCUCAGACUCUGAUCCUCGGUCCGUGUCUUCUCCGUCCAUUCAAACUAGUAAACAAAAAAACGAGCCAAUAUUUUGUUUAAUUGGUUUUUCUAAAACUGUGUAAAAAUUUAACUUGAAAAAAAAAUUCUGUGUAAAAGAGACCAACUCAACAUCCUGGUAACCAGGGAGAAGCAAUUGAUUCCGACCCCAGUGAGCCAGGAAUUGAUGACACUAACGAUGAAUUUUUUUAAAAGUUUUUUAAGUCAGGGUUUUACCGAACAAAUACUUUGAUGGACCAAUUUUUUUGCACUAAAUUUAUUUACACUCAGGGUUUUUUUUAUAUGUUGAAUUUUUUUUUACACAAUUUUACACAUUUUUUUAACAAACAGAUAUUUGGAGAUUUUUUUUUAAACUGAGUUUCUUUACACUUAUUUUUUCUUCUGUUUAAUUUUUUUUACAGUUUUUUAAGUCAAAUUUUUACCAAAGAAAUAUUUUGAGGGAUCUUUUUUUUACUCUGAAUUUAUUUACACUGAGGUUUUUUUAUGUUGAAUAUUUUUUACACAGUUUUUUAUGUCAAAAUUUUACUAAACGAAUAUUUUAAGAGAUCAAUUUUUUUACUCAGAUUUCUAAUGUUGAAUUUUUCAAGUUUUUUUUAAGUAAAAUUUUUACUAAACAAAUAUUUUGAAAGAUCUUUUUUAUACUGAAUUUAUUUACACUGAGGGUUUUUAAGCUGAGUAUUUUUAGUUUUUUUAAGUAAAAAUUUUACUUAAUGAACAUUUUGAGAAAUUAUUUUUUUACACUGAGUUUAUUUACACUGAUUUUUUCUUAUUUUGAAUUUUUUUUAACAAAAUUUUUUAGUCAAUUUUUCCAAACAACUAUUUUUAGAGACUGAUUUUUUUACACUGAAUUUAUUUCAUCAUUGUGAAAAAAAUGAGCAUCAGAAAUAAAAUGCGUGCUUGAAAUCCAACGAUUUUGAAAAUCAAAAUCAGAUUCUGAUGCAAAAAAAAAUUCAGCUAUAGAACUUCUAAGUCAAAAUCAGAUGGCACAGAUUUACUUCCAUAAACCUUUGACCCCGGCGUCCCUCUGAUGGCGUUAAACUGUUCUCCUCAUGUUUGGAUCGUCACAGCCUCGUCUAAAAUCACUCCUGGAUCAUUUGGAGAAGAUCUCAGACUUGGACCUGCACUUCGUUGACCUUCCUGCUCUGAAAAGAAGAGUAUGUAUAUUUCUGAAGGUCAUCGCUGCUCUCAGCUGUGACCUUCACUGAACACGUCUUCAUACCUGAACACAUAAUGACUCUGUUCGCCAAGGUUGGAGGAUGUAAAUAACAGGAAUGUUUGACCUUCCUGAUGAAUAGACAACACAUUCUUGAGUGUGUUGGUGUUAAGUGUGUUUUCUCUGUUGUAUUCAUGUGUGUGUGUGUGUGUGUGUGUGUGUGUGUGUGUGUGUGUGUGUGUGUGUGUGUGUGUGUGUGUGAUCUUUCAGCCUUGAGAGUGAAGAGGAAAUAAGAGGAGUGUAUAAAAAGACGGAGAGUUGGUUUAAAAGUCGUGGUUUUUAGUGUUUAAUUUGGUGUGAAAUGAUGAUGCUGAGAGAAACUGAUGGAGUAGGAGGGUGGGUGGUGUAGAAGAGUUCAUGUAGAUUUAGGAGUUUAUUGACGAAUGGAGAAUCGUUGGUUUGUGUUUCAGACGCCCACACCGAGAGCUGACAGGAACUUUAAAAUAUUUCAGAUCUGACCCCCCCACUGUCCCCGUCCUCAGUGUCCUUCAGCAUCUAGACUGUUCUUCUCUACGGUUAGUAAAGCAGAUCGACUCUUGAACUAAAUUUAUCGACUUCUACUGUCUUCAUCGUUUCCCUACGAUGGUUCAACAGUUUCAUGACCAUCAAGAAUUCUGUCCCGUUUUAUUCUGUUCUAUGAUGUUCUUUUCUAUUCUUUUCUCUUCCAGUCUGUCCAAUUCUCUUCUGUUCUAUUCAGUUCCUUUCUAUUAAAUUCUAUUGUAUCGUAUUCUAAUCUGUUCUCUUCUCUCUUCUCUAUUUGGUUCUAAUUUAUUCGGCUUUGGUCUUUUCUAUUAUUUUCUUUUCUAUUCUGAUCUGUUCUUUACUAUUCUAUUCUAUAAAGCUCUAUUUUUAUUUUAAAUUCUUCUAUUUUGUUCUGUUCUAUGAUAUCUUAUUCUAUUCUAUAAAGCUCUAUCUGUUAUUUGAUCAUUUUUCUAUUCCAUUCUAUUCUAUUCUAACUUAUUCUUUUCUAUUCUGUUCUAUUCUUUUCUGUUUUAUUCACCUCUAUUCUAUUUGAUCAUUUUCUAUUCUAUUCUCUUCUAUUUUAUUUUAUUCUUUUCUAUUUUUUCAAUUCUAUAAUUUUCUAGUCUUUUCUAUUCUAUUUAUUUCUAUUCUAUUCUAUUUCUUUUCUAUUCUAUUUUUUUUUCUAUGACACCAUUUUCUGUUUUAUUCGAUUCUGUUGUUUUCUUCUACUUCACUCUUUUUUUUUAUUUCACUUUAUUCUGCAGUUAUUUAUUCUACUCUGUUCUUUUCUACUUAUUUCUUUUCAGGUCUUUUCAAGUCGAUUCGAUUCUUUUCUAUUCUUUACUGUUCUAUUCUAUUAAGCUCUAUUUUAUUCUUUUCUAUUUUUUUCCUCCUCUGUUCUAUUCUGUUAUAAUUUAUUCUGCUCUGUUAAUUUUUUAUCCCCUUUUUCUGUUCAGUUCUAUUCUAUUAGACUAUUUUGUUCCUUUCCUUUUUUCCUCUGUUAUUUUCUAUUCUUUUUUAAUCUAUGUUGUUCUGUUCUUUUUUUAUCCUUUAUUUGGUUCUUAUUUUCCUCUCUCACGUCACCAACAGUUGGACUGAUCGAGGAUCAGAAAAUAAAAAAUCUGGGAAACAUGUUUUUGGGUCUUUUUCUAGUUAAGUUCUACAAAAGUGUGUUUUUGUCAUCAGGCCAAUCACCACAUUUCUCCGACACACACACACACACACACACACACACACACACACACACACACACACACACGUUCACACACUUCUGAACAGAUUCACAAAGACAGAGAAAAUAAUGGAAACACUCUGAACACAAUCGAACAGCUCCGAGGAAAAUUGAAUCUACUCGACUAUUUAUAAGGUAAUUAUCUCUGCUGUGUACCUGUCCAUCUAUGUUGAGGACCGACCUGCACACACACACACACACACACACACACACACACACACACACACACACACACACACACACACACACACACACAGCUGUUAAAUGAUCAUUUUGAAAUGUUGCAUAAAUCCAUUAAUAUGAUAAUCUAGGAUUUCCAUCAGUGUAAUCUCAUUCUCCUCACUGUCUCUAUUUUGAAGGAACCUUUUCUUACUCCUGAACUGUUGUUUAAACGACUAACGCUCUGUAUCAGGAGGAUCAGUGGUCUGGGUUCCUGGGUUAAAACCUCGCCAAAGACCUGACCUGGAGCAUCAACAGUCUUCUCUGGUUGAGGAGGAUCACUAACCCUCGUUACCCUCCCAGAGUUCUUCGGAUUAGACGAUUUGAUUGGACAACUGUCCUCGUCUCAGUUUACACGGACUGAACAUGGAUCUGUCUAUUGAUCAGAGACCGCCGCCUCCUCGACCGGCUCGAUACGUCUUUGACCAACUUUGUCACGUGCCGAAACAAUCGACAAACAUGUUAGAGAGAGGUCGUCCAUCGAACGAUAAACUGAGGCGUACAUGACGUAAAGGAACUCGAUUCCAGACGACGUUAUCAGGGAUCUUUCAAUCUGACUGUGAGGCAGAGUAGCAGGUAGAAGGUCCCUGCAGACCGUGGCGAAAGCUUGGACAGAGGACUGUGGGAAGAAGCCGACCCAACGCUGUCCGUGAUCCGCCACGAAAUUCACCUCACAAACAGAUCUGGUAGGAAUUGGCGUACGGCGAAAAUUGCCACCUUUCUGGAUGCGGUGGAAAUCCUGGGUUAGUCCCCGUUUCUCAAAGCUGUGGUAGAUCACUAAGACCGACUCUAGAGACUUCUCAGGGUUCACAACAAUGGCAUGCACACACACGCCUCCUUUUCCUGUUAACAAACAAAUCCAACGGCACAAAUCAAAACGUGAAGCUGCUGCGUCCUGGAAAUGGGGAACAACAGCAAAACCUGGCCAAACAAACGGAUCCAGUAGCAACAGGUGAGAAUCUAGUUACUGACAGAAGAAACCACAACGGUUGGUCCUGAUGUACCCCCCCCCCCCCCCCCCCCCGUCUACCUACAGACCCAUAGACCGACUCUAGAGACUUCUCAGGGUUCACAACAAUGGCACGCACACACAUGCCUCCUUUUCCUGUUAACAAACAAAUCCAACGGCACAAAUCAAAGCGUGAAGCUGCUGCGUCCUGGAAAUGGGGAACAACAGCAAAACCUCAUGAAUACAAAAUAGGAUCAAUUUAUUAAUUUCUCAUACAAACAAACAAAUCCAAGAAUAAUGAAUGUGGACCUGCAGCAGAAAUCUCCUCUCAGACCAGCUCAGUGCAGAAAAAAACACAUAGACGUGUCUUUAAUUAUCUCCUUUUUUCACCCUCACGCUCAAAAGACAGAAAUCAGCGAUGUGUGGAGAUUGAUUAAUGGAAAAGUCAUCCGUCUCCUCGUACGCCGUGGAGAUGUGAACAAGCUCAUCAGUAAACAGGAAAUCAAUUAGAUGUCGUGUUUGACGUUUCAUACAUCACUGUUUCCGUGCACCUAUACAUCAUUAUAGCGUCUCAGGUCCGCUCAGGCGUUCACGAACAUGUGGAAAUGAUGUGGGUCUGAUCUGGAGCCUCUCCUCUUUACAGAACUGAUUAAAGUAUUUAUUAAAAAAAAGGUGAUAAACUCUAAAUGAAGAGGUUUGAAGUUUGAGAACCGCAGUUCAGUCAGUGUCCACUAGAGGCUGUCUCCAAAAGUGAGUCGAUCCCUGUAGAGCCCCGUGUUAAAAAGAGCAACUUUCCAACAAAUGAAGGAAAAGCAGUUCUGGUCUCAGACCUGCACUUCUACAGGGGUCACAGGUCAAGUCGAGGUAGGAGAGGGUGUCACGGAAGUGAUAUUUUUUUUUGGGAUGGUAGGGGAAAGUCCCGCCUCCUUCGCCUCUGAUUGGCUCAAAAAGCUGGAAACGUCAUCACACGCUCAAGUCAAAUGGGAGCUGUCGGCUCUGGACAUCGAACAGAACAUUAUCGCACUCCGGAAUCUCCUAACCCUAACCUGACAGACGAUGACGUUCCCCGCCAUUAGGAAGAACCAAUCAGUGCCCAGCACUUCUAGCCACUUAAGAGGCAAAGGAGGGCGGGACCUUCCCCUACCAUCCUCCAAAAAGAAAAUUCGCUUCCGGAAUAGGGUGACAGAGGGUCUCCGAUGUCCAUAAAUGUGGGAUUCUGGGAUCUUUGUGCGAUCAGACGUGCAGAUCCGCUCGCCUUGUUUGCAUGAGGACUAAAACAGUCCGACUGGUUUAAUGAAGCUCUUCAACCUCAUCCACAGGGAGACGAGACGCUCUGAAAAUCAGACAGAGAGAGACGGACAACCUUUGACCUCCUCUUCUUCACAACACGGCGUUUUCCUCCGGGACGUUAUUUCUCAGCGAGCGUGUCGGUUUGUCGUCAAAUGAGGGCUUGACUUCCUGGAAUCCUCCUGGGUUUCCCCCCCGAACACACCAUCAGAGAGAGGAUUUGUGUAGACGUUGACCCGCGUCUACCUGAGGUAUUAACUUGUAAAAGGGUUUGAUGAUGAUAGAGGAGGAGGAGGAGGUAAUCCUGGGAUGGUGUGAGGCAUCAUGGGUAAAGAGAACCAGCAUGGUGAAUGUUCCCCGGGGAGUUUGGGAAAUUGAGGUCAAAAUGUGAGGCAACAAGACCCCGGAAUCACAGACUGUGAAUACUAAUGAGUCCUUUAAACGUCUCCAUGUGGAGGAAGGAUGGAGUUUCCAUUAACACGAGGACCACCAGGACCCCCAGGACCAGCAGACGGGGGUUUGUUAUUGUUCUCUAAUUCACCAUGGAGACGUACUUAUCUUCCUCGGUACCUUUAAGACGCUUUUAUUGUCACUUUAUUCAGUAGAACCAGCAGACUACACUAACCUCCAUUUUCCUGUAAAUACAGCGGUGAAGUUAGUUUCAGGUUGGAUAUAUUCUCCUGUAAAUACGGUGGUGAAGUUGGUUUUAGGUUGGAUAUAUUUUCCUGUAAAUACGGUGGUGAAGUUGGUUUUAGGUUGGAUAUAUUUUCCUGUAAAUACGGUGGUGAAGUUGGUUUUAGGUUGGAUAUAUUUUCCUGUAAAUACGGUGGUGAAGUUGGUUUUAGGUUGGAUAUAUUUUUCUGUAAAUACGGUGGUGAAGUUGGUUUUAGGUUGGAUAUAUUUUCUGUAAAUACUGCGGUGAAGUUGGUUUUAGGUUGGAUAUAUUUUCCUGUACAUACCAUGUUGAAGUUAGUUUUAGGUUGGAUAUAUUUUCCUGUAAAUACGGUGGUGAAGUUAGUUUUAGGUUGGAUAUAUUUUUCUGUAAAUACGGCGGUGAAGUUAGUUUUAGGUUGGAUAUAUUUUUCUGUAAAUACUGCGGUGAAGUUAGUUUUAGGUUGGCUAUAUUUUCCUGUAAAUACGGUGGUGAAGUUAGUUUUAGGUUGGAUAUAUUUUCCUGUAAAUACGGCGGUGAAGUUAGUUUUAGGUUGGAUAUAUUUUUCUGUAAAUACUGCGGUGAAGUUGGUUUUAGGUUGGAUAUAUUUUCCUGUAAAUACGGUGGUGAAGUUGGUUUAAGGUUGGAUAUAUUUUCCUGUAAAUACGGCAGUGAAGUUAGUUUUAGGUUGGAUAUAUUUUCCUGUAAAUACGGCGGUGAAGUUAGUUCUAGGUUGGAUAUAUUUCCCUGUAAAUACUGCGUUGAAGUUGGUUUAUGGUUGGAUAUAUUUUUCUGUACAUACCAUGUUGAAGUUAGUUUUAGGUUGGAUAUAUUUUCCUGUAAAUACGGCAGUGAAGUUAGUUUUAGGUUGGAUAUAUUUUCCUGUAAAUACAGCGGUGAAGUCAGUUUUAGGUUGGAUAUAUUUUUCUGUAAAUACUGCGGUGAAGUUGGUUUUAGGUUGGAUAUAUUUUCCUGUAAAUACAGUGGUGAAGUUAGUUUUAGGUUAUAUAUCAUUUUCUGUAAAUACUGCGGUGAAGUUAGUUUUAGGUUGGAUAUAUUUUUCUGUAAAUACGGCGGUGAAGUUAGUUUCAGGUUGGAUAUAUUUUCCUGUAAAUACGUCGGCGAAGUUAGUUUUAGGUUGGAUAUAUUUUCCUGUAAAUACGGCGGUGAAGUUUGUUUUAGGUUGGAUAUAUUUUCCUGUAAAUACGGCAGUGAAGUUGGUUUUAGGUUGGAUAUAUUUUCCUGUAAAUACAAUGUUGAAGUUAGUUUUAGGUUGGAUAUAUUUUCCUGUAAAUACGGCGGUGAAGUUAGUUUAAGGUUGGAUAUAUUUUUCUGUAAAUACGGCGUUGAAGUCAGUUUUAGGUUGGAUAUAUUUCUUGUAAAUACGGCGGUGAAGUUAGUUUUAGGUUGGAUAUAUUUUCCUGUAAAUACGGUGGUGAAGUUAGUUUUAGGUUGGAUAUAUUUUUCUGUAAAUACGGCGGUGAAGUUAGUUUUAGGUUGGAUAUAUUUUUCUGUAAAUACGCAACAGAACGGAAGGAAGUCGGUGGAAAUCGACACGUUAACUUGAAAGGUUACGAUCAGCUACGAUCGGAGGAUACGACCUUUUCGUAGACGUUCCGGUUGCGGUGGAAACUGGGAGUAAGUGGACUCAGUCUACAGGGUCUUUACGGCUCAGGUGGACUAAAGCAACACGUGUUUGCGGAGGGGGAAACCUGAGGUCUGGGGGGGAACACCUGCCCCUCGAAGACAAGGAGGUUUUCAGAUCCGGGUGAAGAGACGGUCUGACGCCUUCAAUUAGAGAUUUGACAGAGAGAAACUCUGACAGGGAAUGAAUCUUUAACCUGCUACAGCGAACACUUUCCUACCUGAGAAACCGUCUCUGACUGACAACUCUGACUUCAGGGAGAUUCCUGCGCCCACGCUCUUAUUUUGGCGGGUUUAGUUUCAUGUAUUUUUUACUUACAAGCCCACAAGAGGAGCUGAGAGGAGCAGGUUUGCUGCAGUCCUGUAUACUGGAGCGGUUCCGGCCCGUUCUCCGUCUGAUGUGAAUUAAUGAAAGACAAGAAGAGAUGAGAAAAAAGAGCGAAUCAAUUAAUGGAAGCUCUCACAGCAACAGCAGGAGUAAAAGUCUCUUCAAAAGGACUUCAAAAAUGUCCGUCUUCAAAAGAGGGAAUCCUCAAAGGACUCGGAGUGUGUGUGUGUGUGUGUGUGUGUGUGUGUGUGUGUGUGUGUGUGUGUGUGUGUGUGUGUGUCCUCGGUUUGUUUACAAUUGUUCGAGUGUCUAUCUGCUUCCAGCCCGAGGACCCUGGGGGAUGUUUUACUCCCAGUGUUGAAGGACCUUAAUCUUUCUAUCGUAGAGUGAAGAUAUUUCUGUAUCGCCGUGGAAACAGACUCAGAGUGCGUGUAACUUGAACGCUGUGUGUCUUUUUUUCAACACAUUGACUCUCAAACAGAUCCUAAACUAACAUGUUUGAUUCUGGAACAGAUGAGGGUGAAGAUGAAGCUCAGAGAGGUCAUGUGGCUCCAUCUAGUGGCGGUUUCAGGGUUUUUCAUCAUUUAUCAAUGAUUUAAUAAGAAACUUCUACUGUAGUAAAAUGAAAAGGUAAAGGUGUUUUUAUUGAGCCGAAUUAUCAAUAAAAUCAUGAUUUUGUUAACAGGUAUGAAUUUAUGUUCUGUUGAGUUAAUAUAUGUGAACAAGAGCACAGUAAAGUUAAAUCAGCUAAUUUUCCAAUGAGGUUCUGUUACUAAACUGAACUACACCAUGUUCUAAUGAGGUUAGUACAUAUAGGGUCACAGACAUAGUACUAGACACCAAACAUCUUUUUAACUUUGACUCAUUUCUUUAGCAAAGAGACUAAACACAACUCACCUACUCUCUUCCAGCAGACGCUUGUUU